CUCCAACCUUCUAGCCAUCCUAUCCCCCAGCACAGCAGACCCUCUUCCGUUUAGGUGCAAUCCAUCAUGACUAUACAGGUUGUACCCAACCGCAAAAUCGGCCCAGUGCUCUAAAAACCCCAAACCCUCUUUCCUGCACCAAGACUUUAGCCACGCAUUGACCUCUCUAAUCUCCCACUGCCUUUCUGCUGUAGCGCGCGGCACAGGUAAUAUUUCUGAAAAAAUUACCUUGG